rnacentral:misc_RNA from 1 species
AUGGCUAUCAAAGGCCUGAUCGCAUCGGUAGUUCAACUAUUGACUCAGCAGUUGGAAGAUGGCGAUUUAUCCGCCGAUUCCAGAGAGAGUCUGGAGGUUGCAAUUCAAUGUUUAGAGAGUGCGUACAACGUUCAAGCCUCCGAUGCUCAACCUAAUGUUGAUUUAUUAGAACUUUAUAAAAGUGCCGUUGAUAAUGUAAAACCGGACUUUGGACCACCUGCUUCACCUGAGGCAAAAGCAGAAGCGGAAAGACUGAAAAAUGAAGGAAACUCCCUUAUGAAAGCUGAAAAACAUCAUGAGGCUCUAGCCAACUACACAAAGGCCAUCGAAUUGGAUGGACGUAACGCUGUUUACUAUUGUAACAGGGCGGCAGUUCAUAGUAAAAUAGGAAAUCAUGCUCAAGCGAUAAAAGACUGCAACACAGCAUUGGCGAUUGACCCUUCAUAUAGCAAAGCAUACGGGCGUUUAGGACUCGCUUAUUCAAGUCUAGAAAAGCAUAAAGAAGCGAAACAAAGCUACCAAAAAGCUUUAGAAAUGGAACCAGGAAAUGAAAGUUAUAAAAUAAACCUCCAAUUAUCAGAAGAGAAACUUGCUCAGCAAGGUGUUGGGUACAUGGUUCUUGGCAAUAAUCCAGCUGGUUCAAGCGGUGUUUCUCCCAACAUGGACCUGAGCUCACUCCUCAGCAAUCCGGCGCUUAGAAAUAUGGCACGAUUGAUGCUCUCAGAUCCGGGAAUGCAAAACAUGAUGAGUGACUUGAUGAGCGGAAAUGUAGAACAAGGAGGGCGCAUGGAAGCCUUAAUCGAAGCGGGUCAACAAUUGGCGCAACAAAUGCAAAGUGCGAACCCUGAGCUGAUAGAUUCUCUAAGACGUCAGAUGGGUGGUAAUCCAAAUGAUCCGGAACCUCCUCGGGAAAAUUAAGAGUUUUUACAACACUGUCCUCCAAGAAGAAAGAACCUCUGUUUGGUUGUUUAAAUCAAAUUUCAUGCAAGAAAAACCAAAAGCUGUCUCUGUUCCGGCAAAUAAUAUCCAGGGACACAAACGGUUACCGCUCACUUAUUGGUUUAUCGAAUUAUUUCAUCGGCCGUAUAGAAGCAGAUGCUUCGAUGCUUGUAGCAAAGUAUCCAGUAUUUCCAAUUUAAUCCCAUGCGAAAUUUUAGUGCCUAUCUGUUCGAUUCCGCAGCAAUUCCAUAAGAUAAAAUAGAUGGCUAGCAGCAUAUAUACGUUACACAAAAAUAACAGUUAUCGAUAUAGAGAGAGAUAGGGAUAAUGAUAAUGAUAAUAGUAAUGGUAAUAACGACUUGCUAAUUUGAUAUGAAGUGUGCAUAUUAUAGGCAAUAAUGAAUUAUAAUAAAUACUUUAAGUUGUGAGAUGGAAA